rnacentral:rRNA from 1 species
UGGUGGAGUGAUUUGUCUGGUUAAUUCCGUUAACGAACGAGACCUUAGCCUACUAACUAGUCGGGCCCAAUCUCCGAUUGGCUACGACUUCUUAGAGGGACUUUGUGGGUUAAACACAAGGAAGUUUGAGGCAAUAACA